rnacentral:rRNA from 1 species
UACGUAGGGCGCAAGCGUUAUCCGGAAUUAUUGGGCGUAAAGAGCUCGUAGGCGGUUUGUCGCGUCUGCCGUGAAAGUCCGGGGCUCAACUCCGGAUCUGCGGUGGGUACGGGCAGACUAGAGUGAUGUAGGGGAGACUGGAAUUCCUGGUGUAGCGGUGAAAUGCGCAGAUAUCAGGAGGAACACCGUAUGGCGAAGGCAGGGUUGCUGGGCUGAUACUGACGCUGAGGCGCGAAAGCCAGGGGAGCGAACGGG